rnacentral:rRNA from 1 species
CAGCAGCCACGGUAACACAGAGGGUGCGAGCGUUAAUCGGAUUUACUGGGCGUAAAGCGUGCGUAGGCGGCUUUUUAAGUCGGAUGUGAAAUCCCUGAGCUUAACUUAGGAAUUGCAUUCGAUACUGGGAAGCUAGAGUAUGGGAGAGGAUGGUAGAAUUCCAGGUGUAGCGGUGAAAUGCGUAGAGAUCUGGAGGAAUACCGAUGGCGAAGGCAGCCAUCUGGCCUAAUACUGACGCUGAGGUACGAAAGCAUGGGGAGCAAACAGGAUUAGAUACCCCGGUAGUCCCUGUCUCUUAUAC